GGAAAUAUCUGGGUAAGAGAUAAAAGUGCUAGAGAAGCGGGGCGCUCUAACAGGUCUAGAACCCCAGAGAGGAGUGUAAGGCGUCAUCAAGAAUCACAGUACUCUGAAAUGGAGUAUGAAAGAAGCUCAGACAUCAGGAGGAAGGAUCUAGAAAAGGAUGGUCAUAGGGACGAUAGAUCAAAAGGCAGGGAUGACAGCUG
rnacentral:misc_RNA from 1 species